rnacentral:rRNA from 1 species
GACGAACGCUGGCGGCGUGCCUAAUACAUGCAAGUCGAGCGGACCAAACAGGAGCUUGCUCUUGUUUGGUUAGCGGCGGACGGGUGAGUAACACGUGGGUAACCUGCCCGUAAGACCGGGAUAACUCCGGGAAACCGGAGCUAAUACCGGAUAACACCGAAGACCGCAUGGUCUUUGGUUGAAAGGCGGCUUCGGCUGCCACUUACGGAUGGGCCCGCGGCGCAUUAGCUAGUUGGUGAGGUAACGGCUCACCAAGGCGACGAUGCGUAGCCGGCCUGAGAGGGUGACCGGCAACACUGGGACUGAGACACGGCCCAGACUCCUACGGGAGGCAGCAGUAGGGAAUCUUCCGCAAUGGACGAAAGUCUGACGGAGCGACGCCGCGUGAGCGAAGAAGGUCUUCGGAUCGUAAAGCUCUGUUGUUAGGGAAGAAGAAGCGCCGUUCGAACAGGGCGGCGCGGUGACGGUACCUAACGAGAAAGCCCCGGCUAACUACGUG